AAGAAACAUUCCUUUACUUUGUCUCACCUACUCUUAUUUUAUCCUGGGUUAUAAUGAGGUCCAAUUGUCUUCCCGAAAGGUUAUUUGUUUAAGAGAGAUACUCUAACUCAAUUAUCUGGGAAUAAAAGGAACAAAAGAAAGCCAUUAUGCAAAUGUCAGCAAAUCUGGAGUUUCCAAACCAAUUUAUAAUUAAUAUCAAGCUUCUCCUCGUAUGCCAUUAAUAUUAUAACCUCUGAAAGGAGAGAUGAUCAUUCAUUGGCCUAAAAGGAUGUUUUAAGAAAUCUUGCCUGUGGUUCUCAAAAGUUGACAUCAGGAGACUAUAGUACACGGUCUUUGUUGUCCUUGAAUACAGAAAAAAACAAAGAAUGACUGUGUAUAUGAGCACCAUUGAAGGGAGACAGGGUUCUACUCAGGGAAUGCAUCCACUUCUUCUGAAAAUACCGAAUUAUGGUCUCUCUCCCUCCCGUGGAUUCAAAAGAUGGGAAAACGAUGGAGAGCAAUGAUCUACCAUG